rnacentral:rRNA from 1 species
AGUGAACGCUGGCGGUAGGCCUAACACAUGCAAGUCGAACGGCAGCACAGUAAGAGCUUGCCCUUACGGGUGGCGAGUGGCGGGCGGGUGAGGAAUACAUCGGAAUCCUCUUUUUCGUGGGGAAUAACGUGGGAAACCUUCCCCUAUUCCCCCAUACGACGAACGGGGGAAAUCAGUGGUUCUUGGCACUUUUGCUGAUACUUGGAGCCAUUGUCGGAUUAGCUAGUUGGCGGGGUAAGGGCCCACCAAGGCGACGAUCCGUAGCGGGUCUGAGAGGAUGAUCAGCCACACUGGAACUGAGACACGGUCCAGACUCCUACGGGAGGCAGCAGUGGGGAAUAUUGGACAAUGGGCGCAAGCCUGAUCCAGCCAUACCGCGUGGGUGAAGAAGGCCUUCGGAUUGUAAAGCCCUUUUGUUGGGAAAGAAAAGCAGUAGGUUAAUACCUCGCUGUUCUGACGGUACCCAAAGAAUAAGCACCGGCUAACUUCGUG